rnacentral:tRNA from 1 species
GUUCCUGUAGUUAAAUUUUUAUAACAACAGCUUUUCAGGCUGUAGAUCUUGGGGAAGAUCCAGGUAGGAACU